UUCGGUUGAUCCUGCCGACCCAGACUGCUAGAAGAUUGGGACUCAGGUAUCCAAGUGGUGCGAUAAGCAUAUAUCGCCGCAGAACGCUCAGUAACACGUUGCUAACUUACCCUCAAGUGGGAGGCAAUCUCGGGAAACUGAGGCUAAUUCUCCCGUGAGAUAAAUUUUCCUGGAAAGGCAUAUUAUCAGAAGGUGCUGCCUAAUGCUGGCAGUGUCCGCUUGAGGAUAGGGCUGCGGAUGAUUAGCUAGUAGGUAGAGGUAAAGGCUCACCUAGGCGACGAUCAUUAGGGGCAUUGUGAGAUGGGGCCCCGAGAAUUUCACUGAGACAAUGGAAAUGGGAUUACGAUCUGCAGGAACCGCGAAACCGCCUCUAUGUACGCAGGUACGAGGGGGUCAGUCUUCGUGCUCUGUUACCGCAGAGCUGUUGCCUAAGAUAAUAUCAUUGGGUUAGAAAGGCGAGGGUAAGGCUGGUGCCAGCAGCCGCGGUAAAACCAGCUCGCCGAGUGGUCUGGACUAUUAUUGAGCCUAAAACGUCUGUAGCUGGGUUAAAAAGCUCAUGAUUAAAUCCGAAUGCUCAACAUUCGGCCUGUUGUGAAUACUAUUAGCCUUGGGAAUGGAAGAGGUAAGCCGUACGAAUGGGUUAGGGGUGAAAUCCGUUGACCCUGUUCGGACGACCUAUGGCGAAGGCAGCUUACUGGGACAUCUCCGACAGUCAGUAGACGAAAGCUAGGGUAUCGACGCGGAUUAGAGACCCGUUUAGUCCUAUGCUGUAAACGAUGAUUGCUUUGUGUUGCGGGCGACUCGAUUGUCUGCAGUGCUGUAGGGAAGCCGUUAAGCGAUCUGCUUGGGAAGUACUGUCGCAAGGCAGAAACUUAAAGGAAUUGGCGGGGGUUCACCACCAGGCGAGGGGUGUGCGGUUUAAUUGAAUCCAACGCCAGGAAACUUACCUGAGAGUAGGGCACUAUGAUUGUCAGAUUGAAGAUCUUACAUGAGUUGUCGGAGGCUUGUGCAGGGCCGUCUGAAAUUCGUAUCGUGAGACGUGCAGUUAAGUCUGCUAACGAAUGAGAUGUUUGCCUCUAAUUGCCAUUGUCUAACUUCGGUUGGACAGGAACCUUAGAGGGAUCGCUGUGAGCUAAUCCAGAUGAAAGGAAACGCUACGACAGGUCAGUAAGCAGCAUGUUCUCAGGGCUACGCGCGCACUACAAUGGACAGGACAAUAGGCUUCCGAUUUCGAAAGAUUGGGGCAAUCCUAGAAACCUGUUCUCAGUUGGGAUUGAGGGCUGUAACCCGCCCUCAUGAACGUGGAUUGCCUAGUAAGCGCGUGUCAACAUCGCGCGCUGAAUACGCCUCUGGAUCUUGCACACACCGCCCGUCGCUGGAACUGAAUGAAUAAGGGUUGAAGUGCAUGAUAUUACAUGCGUGCAUUAAAGCUUUUAUCCGUGAAGAGCCUGAA
rnacentral:rRNA from 1 species